rnacentral:pre_miRNA from 1 species
AGUGGAAUGGUUGGUUCAUAUGGUAAGCAUAACUUUUGAAGAAAUUGCCAAACUGUUUUCCAAAGUGGUUGUGCCAUUUUUACAUUCCCACCAGCAGU